rnacentral:rRNA from 1 species
UACGUAGGGUGCGAGCGUUGUCCGGAAUUAUUGGGCGUAAAGAGCUCGUAGGCGGUGUGUCGCGUCGGUCGUGAAAACUUUCAGCUUAACUGGGAGCUUGCGGUCGAUACGGGCAUCACUGGAGUUCGGCAGGGGAGACUGGAAUUCCUGGUGUAGCGGUGAAAUGCGCAGAUAUCAGGAGGAACACCGGUGGGCGAAGGCGGGUCUCUGGGCCGGUAAC